GAUAGUGCGCCAGAUGAAUGGAUAAUCUUGAUGUGGUUAAUUAUGUGAAUACGCUUCUCCACUAUCU
rnacentral:tRNA from 1 species